AUUGAACGCUGGCGGCAGGCCUAACACAUGCAAGUCGAGCGGAUGAAGGGAGCUUGCUCCUGGAUUCAGCGGCGGACGGGUGAGUAAUGCCUAGGAAUCUGCCUGGUAGUGGGGGAUAACGUCCGGAAACGGGCGCUAAUACCGCAUACGUCCUGAGGGAGAAAGUGGGGGAUCUUCGGACCUCACGCUAUCAGAUGAGCCUAGGUCGGAUUAGCUAGUUGGUGGGGUAAAGGCCUACCAAGGCGACGAUCCGUAACUGGUCUGAGGGGAUGAUCAGUCACACUGGAACUGAGACACGGUCCAGACUCCUACGGGAGGCAGCAGUGGGGAAUAUUGGACAAUGGGCGAAAGCCUGAUCCAGCCAUGCCGCGUGUGUGAAGAAGGUCUUCGGAUUGUAAAGCACUUUAAGUUGGGAGGAAGGGCAGUAAGUGAAUACCUUGCUGUUUUGACGGUACCAACAGAAUAAGCACCGGCUAACUUCGUG
rnacentral:rRNA from 1 species